CGUGAGGUGCAUGUUCAAGUUACCCAUUCCAUGCCGCCAGAGAAGCGUGAAAUCUUUGAUUCCUUGCAAGAUUGGGCUGAGAGUAAUAUCUUGGUGCACCUAAAGCCUGUCGAGAAGUGUUGGCAGGCCAGUGACUUUCACCAGAAAAGCGUGAAAUCUUUGAUUCCUUGCAAGAUUGGGCUGAGAGUAAUAUCUUGGUGCACCUAAAGCCUGUCGAGAGGUGUUGGCAGGCCAGUGACUUUCUUCCUGAUCCUGCCUCAGAAGGAUUUGAGGAGCAAGUCAAGGAGCUGAGAGAGAGGUGCAAAGAAAUUCCUGAUGACUACUUUGUUGUAUUAGUUGGAGAUAUGAUCACCGAGGAGGCUCUUCCAACUUAUCAGACGAUGCUUAAUACCCUAGAUGGCGUUCGUGAUGAAACUGGCGCCAGCCUUACUCCUUGGGCUAUUUGGACGAGGGCAUGGACCGCCGAGGAAAAUAGGCAUGGUGACCUUCUCAACAAGUAUCUGUAUCUUUCUGGAAGAGUCGAUAUGAGGCAAAUUGAAAAGACAAUUCAGUACCUCAUUGGCUCAGGGAUGGUGAGGGUUCGUGAUGAAACUGGUGCCAGCCUUACUCCUUGGGCUAUUUGGACGAGGGCAUGGACUGCCGAGGAAAAUAGGCAUGGUGACCUUCUCAACAAAUAUCUGUAUCUUUCUGGAAGAGUCGAUAUGAGGCAAAUUGAAAAGACAAUUCAGUACCUCAUUGGCUCAGGGAUGGUGAGCUUGCUUCUUUUAUCUGCUGUUACUAUUAAGCUUUAAAAUCAUCUUGGAGAUUCAUUGGGUAAAAUUCAAAUUUCGAUGACAUAGUAUUUAAUCAUUAGACUGAUAUAAUAGCAGAUUUCUUUAAGAGUGUGUGUGGUAUCUGUGUCUGCCUGUCUGUAUGAGCCUCCAAAUCUCACGUGGACAAAAAUUCUCGGAUUCGAUAGAACUAGUCAUAUUGGAAAAUUAGUUGUACUCCAGUUACUU
rnacentral:lncRNA from 1 species